GUUCUUGUGGUGUAGUGGUUAUCACAUCCGCCUAACACGCGGAAGGUCCCAGGUUCGAUCCCUGGCAGGAACA
rnacentral:tRNA from 5 species